rnacentral:rRNA from 1 species
UACGAAGGGGGCUAGCGUUGUUCGGAAUUACUGGGCGUAAAGCGCGCGUAGGCGGGUUGUUAAGUCAGGGGUGAAAUGCCGAGGCUCAACCUCGGAACUGCCUUUGAUACUGGCAAUCUGGAGAUCGGGAGAGGUGAGUGGAACUCCGAGUGUAGAGGUGAAAUUCGUAGAUAUUCGGAAGAACACCAGUGGCGAAGGCGGCUCACUGGCCCGGUACUGACGCUGAGGUGCGAAAGCGUGGGGAGCAAACAGG